rnacentral:rRNA from 1 species
UACGGGGGGGGCAAGCGUUGUUCGGAAUUACUGGGCGUAAAGGGCUCGUAGGCGGCCAACUAAGUCACACGUGAAAUCCCCAGGCUUAACCUGGGAACUGCGUGUGAUACUGGGAGGCUUGAAUGCGGGAGAGGGAUGUGGAAUUCCAGGUGUAGCGGUGAAAUGCGUAGAUAUCUGGAGGAACACCGGUGGCGAAGGCGGCAUCCUGGACCGACAUUGACGCUGAGGCGCGAAAGCCAGGGGAGCAAACGGG